rnacentral:rRNA from 1 species
GGGGGUUAAAGUAUUUUUAUUGAAAAAAUUAAAUAAUUUAUAGUGAAUUAGUAUUGUAAAAGAAUUUAGAAUUAAAUAAAAAAGAAAUUAAUUAUAAGUAAUUUUAAUUUAAUGUAUCUUGUGUAUCAGAGUUUAUUAAAAAAAAUUUUUAAUAAAAAAAUUCUCGAAUUUAAAAGAGAUAAUUAAUUAAUAAAGUUAUUGUGGCAUAAAUAUUUAAAAUAAUUAAUUUGAAAUGAAAUGUUAAUCGUUUUUAAAUAUAUCUAGUUUUUUUAGAAAAAAAUUUAAUUUUUUAUUAUAUUACAAAAAAAUUAAUUAAUUAAUUUUUUUUGUAAUAUAAUAUUAUAUUUUAAGGGAUAAGCUUUAAUUUAAAUUUAUAUAAAUAAUGAAUUAAAUUAAUUGAAAUUUAUAUAAUUUAUAUUGUUAAAAAAUUUUAAUUUAUUAUAAAUAAUUUCAUUUAAAAUAAAAUUUAAUAAAAUUUUAUAUUUUUAUAAAAAAAAAUUUUUAAAUAAAAAAAAAAUUGAUAUAAUGAUAAAAUUAGUAUAUAAAUUUUAAAAAUUAUUAUUUUUAAAAUAAUUAAUUAAAAGGAAUUCGGCAAAAAUUUAUAUUCACUUGUUUAUCAAAAACAUGUCUUUUUGAAAAUAAUAUAAAGUCUAAUCUGCCCACUGAUUAAUAAUUAAAGGGCUGCAGUAAUUUGACUGUACAAAGGUAGCAUAAUCAUUAGUCAUUUAAUUGAUGACUUGUAUGAAAGAUUGGAUGAAAUAUAAACUGUCUCUUAAUUAUAUUUAGAAUUUAAUUUUUUAAUUAAAAAGUUAAAAUAAUUUAAAAAGACGAGAAGACCCUAUAGAGUUUUAUAAAUAAAAUUAAUUAAGAUUAUUUAUAAAUUUAAAAUUAAAAUUAAUUUAUUUAUUUUGUUGGGGUGACAGAAAAAUUAAAUGAACUUUUUUUAAAUUAAAACAUAUAUAAGUGAUUAUAUGAUCCAAUAUUAUUGAUUAUAAGAAAAAAUUACCUUAGGGAUAACAGCGUAAUUUUUUUUUUUAGUUCAUAUAAAAAAAAGAGUUUGCGACCUCGAUGUUGGAUUAAGAUAAAAUUUAAAUGCAGAAGUUUAAAAUUUUUGAUCUGUUCGAUCAUUAAAAUCUUACAUGAUCUGAGUUCAAACCGGUGUAAGCCAGGUUGGUUUCUAUCUUUUAAUAAAUAAAAUAUUUUAGUACGAAAGGAUUAAAUAUUUAAAUUAAAUUUAUAUUUUUGAAUUUUAUUAAAUU